GACAGAGGGUGCGAACGUUGUUCGGAAUUACUGGGCGUAAAGCGCGUGUAGGCUGUUCGGAAAGUCGGGUGUGAAAGCCCUGGGCUCAACCUAGGAAGUGCACUCGAAACUCCCGAACUGGAGUCCCGGAGAGGAAGGCGGAAUUCUCGGUGUAGAGGUGAAAUUCGUAGAUAUCAAGAGGAACAUCGGUGGCGAAGGCGGCCUUCUGGACGGUGACUGACGCUGAGACGCGAAAGCGUGGGGAGCAAACAGG
rnacentral:rRNA from 1 species